rnacentral:rRNA from 1 species
GUGGGGAAUUUUGGACAAUGGGCGCAAGCCUGAUCCAGCAAUGCCGCGUGCAGGAAGAAGGCCUUCGGGUUGUAAACUGCUUUUGUACGGAACGAAACGGUCCGGGUUAAUACCCUGGGCUAAUGACGGUACCGUAAGAAUAAGCACCGGCUAACUACCUGCCAGCAGCCGCGGUAAUACGUAGGGUGCAAGCGUUAAUCGGAAUUACUGGGCGUAAAGCGUGCGCAGGCGGUUGUGUAAGACAGGCGUGAAAUCCCCGGGCUCAACCUGGGAAUUGCGCUUGUGACUGCACAGCUGGAGUGCGGCAGAGGGGGAUGGAAUUCCGCGUGUAGCAGUGAAAUGCGUAGAUAUGCGGAGGAACACCGAUGGCGAAGGCAAUCCCCUGGGCCUGCACUGACGCUCAUGCACGAAAGCGUGGGGAGCAAACAGGAUUAGAUACCCGUGUAGUCC